GGACGAAAGCGUGGGGAGCAAACAGGAUUAGAUACCCUGGUAGUCCACGCCCUAAACUAUGCAUACUAGGUAUUGGCAGUAUCGACCCUGUCAGUGCCGUUUAAAAAAGCUAACGCGUUAAGUAUGCCGCCUGGGGAGUACGGCCGCAAGGCUAAAACUCAAAGAAAUAGACGGGGACCCGCACAAGCGGUGGUUCAUGUGGUUUAAUUCGAUGGUAAACGGGGAACCUUACCUGGGCUCAACUACUAGCUGCAAGCCUCCAGAAACGGAGGCCGCCUUUGAGGGUGCUAGAUAGGUGCUGCAUGGUUGCCGUCAGCUCGUGCCGUGAGGUGUACCAUUAAGUUGGGAAACGAGCGCAACCCACGUCGUGUGUUAAAUUUACACACGAGACCGCCCAGCCCUUUGAAAAUGAGUGAAGCAAAGUAAGCAAUUACUCGUCGUGCUUAAGCUGCCUACUCUGCUUAUAGCUCGUUGGCAAAGAGCUGGGAGGAAGGGGUGGACGACGUCAAAUCAGCAUGGCUCUUACGUCCAGGGCUACACACAUGAAACAAUGGGAAGUACAAUGGGUUGCUAAGUCGCGAGAUGGAGCUAAUCCCAUCAAAACUUCCCCCAGUUCAGAUUGCAGGCUGCAACUCGCCUGCAUGAAGUAGGAAUCGCUAGUAAACGCCUAUCAGCCACGGGGCGUUGAAUACGUUCUCGGGUCUUGUACUCACAAUAAAAGCGCUAGGCAGUAUAUUAUUCUAGAGAGUUAAAGUCUCUCCCUCUGCUUGUCGGCAGAGCGUAGCUAAAAGAUAGUCGUCUUUCGCAAGGAAGACGGCGAAGGAUCUCGAG
rnacentral:ncRNA from 1 species